UACGGAGGAUGCGAGCGUUAUCCGGAUUUAUUGGGUUUAAAGGGUGCGUAGGCGGAUCGUUAAGUCAGUGGUCAAAUUGAGGGGCUCAACCCCUUCCCGCCAUUGAAACUGGCGAUCUUGAGUGGAAGAGAAGUAUGCGGAAUGCGUGGUGUAGCGGUGAAAUGCAUAGAUAUCACGCAGAACCCCGAUUGCGAAGGCAGCAUGCCGGCUUCCUGCUGACGCUGAAGCACGAAAGCGUGGGGAUCGAACAGG
rnacentral:rRNA from 1 species